rnacentral:misc_RNA from 1 species
GUUGUUGGAAUUCUAUACAAGUAUGGCAAUACCGAUUCUUUCAUCAAUGAUUUAAAUGACGAGUUGGAUCAAUUGGCUAAGGCAGGCAAUGCAAUAGGGGAAGAGGUGCAUGUGGCAGCCGGAGAAGUUGAUAUCAAGUAUCUGAAGCGUCACACGCGUAAAUACUACCAAUAUGUUGGCUCUCUCACCACCCCUCCCUGCACCGAGAACGUCCUUUGGACCAUUUUGGGCAAGGUAAGGUCAGUCACCAAGGCGCAGGUUGCGAUACUGCGAGCACCUCUGAACAAUGACUACAAGAUAAACUCGAGACCCUCACAAGCUUUGAAUGGAAGGAUUAUUGAACUCUACGAUGAGCACCACAAAGCCAAGUCUCAGUCCCUGUGAUGUCUCUGUUGUUAUGGAGAAAC